UGGAGAGGUGGCAGAGUGGUUGAAUGCGCUUGACUCGAAAUCAAGUUUGGGGUCACACCCAACGGGGGUUCGAAUCCCCCCCUCUCCGU
rnacentral:tRNA from 1 species